rnacentral:rRNA from 1 species
GACGAACGUUGGCGGCGUGCUUAACACAUGCAAGUCGAACGGAAAGGCCCUGCUUUUGUGGGGUGCUCGAGUGGCGAACGGGUGAGUAACACGUGAGUAACCUGCCCUUGACUUUGGGAUAACUUCAGGAAACUGGGGCUAAUACCGGAUAGGAGCUCCUGCUGCAUGGUGGGGGUUGGAAAGUUUCGGCGGUUGGGGAUGGACUCGCGGCUUAUCAGCUUGUUGGUGGGGUAGUGGCUUACCAAGGCUUUGACGGGUAGCCGGCCUGAGAGGGUGACCGGCCACAUUGGGACUGAGAUACGGCCCAGACUCCUACGGGAGGCAGCAGUGGGGAAUAUUGCACAAUGGGCGGAAGCCUGAUGCAGCAACGCCGCGUGCGGGAUGACGGCCUUCGGGUUGUAAACCGCUUUCGCCUGUGACGAAGCGUGAGUGACGGUAAUGGGUAAAGAAGCACCGGCUAACUACGUGCCAGCAGCCGCGGUGAUACGUAGGGUGCGAGCGUUGUCCGGAUUUAUUGGGCGUAAAGGGCUCGUAGGUGGUUGAUCGCGUCGGAAGUGUAAUCUUGGGGCUUAACCCUGAGCGUGCUUUCGAUACGGGUUGACUUGAGGAAGGUAGGGGAGAAUGGAAUUCCUGGUGGAGCGGUGGAAUGCGCAGAUAUCAGGAGGAACACCAGUGGCGAAGGCGGUUCUCUGGGCCUUUCCUGACGCUGAGGAGCGAAAGCGUGGGGAGCGAACAGGCUUAGAUACCCUGGUAGUCCACGCUGUAAACGGUGGGUACUAGGUGUGGGGUCCAUUCCACGGGUUCCGUGCCGUAGCUAACGCUUUAAGUACCCCGCCUGGGGAGUACGGCCGCAAGGCUAAAACUCAAAGGAAUUGACGGGGCCCCGCACAAGCGGCGGAGCAUGCGGAUUAAUUCGAUGCAACGCGUAGAACCUUACCUGGGUUUGACAUGGAUCGGGAGUGCUCAGAGAUGGGUGUGCCUUUUUUGGGGUCGGUUCACAGGUGGUGCAUGGCUGUCGUCAGCUCGUGUCGUGAGAUGUUGGGUUAAGUCCCGCAACGAGCGCAACCCUUGUUCACUGUUGCCAGCACGUUAUGGUGGGGACUCAGUGGAGACCGCCGGGGUCAACUCGGAGGAAGGUGGGGAUGACGUCAAGUCAUCAUGCCCCUUAUGUCCAGGGCUUCACGCAUGCUACAAUGGCUGGUACAGAGAGUGGCGAGCCUGUGAGGGUGAGCGAAUCUCGGAAAGCCGGUCUCAGUUCGGAUUGGGGUCUGCAACUCGACCUCAUGAAGUCGGAGUCGCUAGUAAUCGCAGAUCAGCAACGCUGCGGUGAAUACGUUCCCGGG